GACGAACGCUGGCGGCGUGCCUAAUACAUGCAAGUAGAACGCUGAAGGAGGAGCUUGCUUCUCUGGAUGAGUUGCGAACGGGUGAGUAACGCGUAGGUAACCUGCCUUGUAGUGGGGGAUAACUUUUGGAAACGAUAGCUAAUACCGCAUAAUAGUAGAUGUUGCAUGACAUUUGCUGAAAAGUUGCAAUUGCUUCACUACCAGAUGGACCUGCGUUGUAUUAGCUUGUUGGUGGGGUAACGGCUCACCAAGGCGACGAUACAGAGCCGACCUGCGAGGGGGGUCAGCCAGACUGGGACGGUGACCCGGCCCAGACUGAUUCGGGAAGGAGCAAUAGGGAAACUUGGGCAAUGGGCGGAAGUCUGACCGAGCAGCGCCGCGUGAGUGAAGAAGGUCUUCGGGUCGUAAAGCUCUGUUGUAAGGGAAGAAAGAGUGUGAGAGUGGAAAGUUCACACUGUGACGGUAUCUGACCAAAAAGCAACGGCUAACUACGUG
rnacentral:rRNA from 1 species